UGGGGAAUUUUGGACGAAUUGGGCGAAAGCCUGAUCCAGCAAUGCCGCGUGUGUGAAGAAGGCCUUCGGGUUGUAAAGCACUUUUGUCCGGAAAGAAAUCCUUGGCUCUAAUACAGUCGGGGGAUGACGGUACCGGAAGAAUAAGCACCGGCUAACUACGUGCCAGCAGCCGCGGUAAUACGUAGGGUGCAAGCGUUAAUCGGAAUUACUGGGCGUAAAGCGUGCGCAGGCGGUUUGCUAAGACCGAUGUGAAAUCCCCGGGCUCAACCUGGGAACUGCAUUGGUGACUGGCAGGCUAGAGUAUGGCAGAGGGGGGUAGAAUUCCACGUGUAGCAGUGAAAUGCGUAGAGAUGUGGAGGAAUACCGAUGGCGAAGGCAGCCCCCUGGGCAAGUACUGACGCUCAUGCACGAAAGCGUGGGGAGCAAACNGGAUUAAUNCCCUGGUAGUCCACG
rnacentral:rRNA from 1 species